rnacentral:rRNA from 1 species
UACGAAGGGGGCUAGCGUUGCUCGGAAUUACUGGGCGUAAAGCGUGCGCAGGCGGUUUUGUAAGCCAGAUGUGAAAUCCCCGGGCUUAACCUGGGAAUGGCAUUUGGGACUGCAAGGCUUGAGUGCGGCAGAGGAGACUGGAAUUCCUGGUGUAGCAGUGAAAUGCGUAGAUAUCAUGAGGAACACCGAUGGCGAAGGCAGGUCUCUGGGCUGACACUGACGCUCAUGCACGAAAGCGUGGGGAGCAAACAGG